rnacentral:rRNA from 1 species
UACGUAGGGGGCGAGCGUUAUCCGGAUUUACUGGGUGUAAAGGGAGCGUAGACGGCGUAUCAAGUCUGAUGUGAAAGGCAGGGGCUUAACCCAUGGACUGCAUUGGAAACUGGUAUGCUUGAGUGCCGGAGGGGUAAGCGGAAUUCCUAGUGUAGCGGUGAAAUGCGUAGAUAUUAGGAGGAACACCAGUGGCGAAGGCGGCUUACUGGACGGUAACUGACGUUGAGGCUCGAAAGCGUGGGGAGCAAACAGG